rnacentral:lncRNA from 1 species
GCUGCUGCAGGGGGCGGACGGCGGUGCGCCGGCCGGCUGCGUCCUCCGCUGCGGGGGGGUGUGCAAGUCCUGCAAGGAAAACCGGUGGCCGGGCUCCCCGGCGCCGGCCCUCCGAUGCCUAAGUCAGAGGGGGGCUUAACUUUGAAGAAGAGAGAGGGAUUGUAUGUGGAAGUCCGAAAUAAUCCCCUUGGGAGGAAGAGGCCUCCUCCCUCUUAGAGGGAGAAGCUCCCCUUUUAUAGGGAG